AAAUUGAAGAGUUUGAUCAUGGCUCAGAUUGAACGCUGGCGGCAGGCCUAACACAUGCAAGUCGAACGGUAACAGGAAGCAGCUUGCUGCUUCGCUGACGAGUGGCGGACGGGUGAGUAAUGUCUGGGAAACUGCCUGAUGGAGGGGGAUAACUACUGGAAACGGUGGCUAAUACCGCAUAACGUCGCAAGACCAAAGAGGGGGACCUUCGGGCCUCUUGCCAUCAGAUGUGCCCAGAUGGGAUUAGCUAGUUGGUGAGGUAACGGCUCACCAAGGCGACGAUCCCUAGCUGGUCUGAGAGGAUGACCAGCCACACUGGAACUGAGACACGG
rnacentral:ncRNA from 3 species